AAACAGAUAGGUUCCCUCUAUACUGCUUUUUCGUUCCAUCUAACUCUGGACCCACCAGAGAGUUAUAGCAGGUAGCCACGGCUGCUAGAGGCUACCUGACCAUGCCUGACAUGACAGAGAGCAGGUGAACCCCACUUCUGUGGCUUUUCAGCAGCUCUUUUGGUACUGCACAUUUGACUAUUUUCCAGAGUGGAUCCACAUAUUCCUCCCCGAAAAGCAGUGCUAAUACACACCAUUUCAUUGGUGACUGAACUUUAGAAACGCAAAUCUAUUGAGUAUACUCAGCCAAAUUCUCCUCUGGUAUUCUGAAGAAUAAGAUGUUCACUUAUGAAUAAAGGCCAGGUAGGAACUAGAGGGAUGUGACAUACGCCUGUCAACUCAGCCCUCUGGGCAGAGGCAUGAGCAUUGCUGACUUCCAAAUGUGGGAGACUGGAGGACUCACUUACUGAAGGAGGUUACCAGGCCCACGGGCUCUGAGCAGUCAAGUAAAAGCAGUGACACCUCUGCCAGCCUCCACUCACCCCACCCCCGCCCCUUCGUUCUCUCUCCCUUCCCUCUGGCUUCCUCAGCUGGCUCCAGGACUCCUGUGUAUACAUCUGUCUCCUGCCCUUCCUCCCUCUGUCUCCUUCCUUCCUUCCCUUAUGUGAAGAAAAGCUCACAUAAUGGGUAAGAUCCAACCAUACGGACUUAGAAAACUGAAAAACCACGCCUUCUGGAAGGUCAAGGGCACAGACAGUUCUGCUUUGGCAGAGUCCCCUGAGAGCAGUAAGCUGCAGCCAGUGGCCCAGCUAUCAGUGUAGCUAGUCAGAGGUAUUGAAUGCCUAUUUGAGAAAGCUUACGUAGCUUUGCUCAGAAAAAUUACAUACUUUCCAUGCUUCUUGGUGACGGCAUUCAUUUUGUGAGUGUUUGGAGCUGUUUUUGUUGUUGUGGCUUUGUUUCGUUGCUGUUCAUCUGUUGCUUGUUUUCAAGACAGAGUCUCAGGAUCUCACUGUGUAGCCCUGGCUGUCCUGGAACUAUGUAGACAAGGUUAGUCUUGAACUCCUACAUAUGCCUGCCUAUGCCUCCUGAGUGCUGAGACUAACUGCAGGUACCACCAUGCCUGUCUACCACUGAUAUUCUUAAGUCUGUGUUUCCCUAACUUUAUUCACACUAAACUUUGUUAUUUUUAUUUUGAUUUUUGUUAAUUCAUUUUGAUCUUUUUCCUUUGAGCUGGGCAUGGAAUUUCCCAUGCCAAAACCAGUUUUCUGUUCACGAUUCUUGAAUGUUCGAGUUUCCAAACACCGUGGUUAACCUACAUCAGCAGUUCACAACCUUCCUCAUGCUGUGACCCUUUAACACAGUUCCUCAUACUGUGGUGACCCAAACCAUAAAAUUAUUUCCACUGCUACUUCAUAACUGUAAUUUUGCUACUGUUUUGAAUCAUAAUGUAAAUAUCUGAUAUGUGAGAUAUCUGCUAUAGAACUCUUGUGAAAGGGUAGUUCAGUCCCCAAAGGGGCCAUGACCCACAGGCUGAGAACCACUUACCUACACACAGCUGACUAGAGAUCCUGGCUCCCAGAGAGCCGAAGCCAGUUAAUAAUGAGGACAAGGCCCUGUGUCUUUGAUGUAGAUACACACCAAGGUGGCCAUUGAGCCACCUGCUGCUCACACUGUGCCCUAGUCACACUUCCUGGACAGAGCUUGAGGGACCAAGAUGUCAUAGACCACUAAGUUCACAGGGAUCAGAAGUGGCUGUCCACAGUGACAACCACACAUAGCACAGGUCCCAGGAGAUAAAGGACCAGGAGAGCAAGCCUGCAGAAGACAAGGUGCUUUGUUCUGCCGAACUCUUUCCAGUCAUCACCUUGAGUUUCAUGGCCUUUGUGUUGGAAAACCCUCUUUACCUCAGGCUGCCCUUUAAAGCAACCAUCCGUUUACUAUUUCUUUGUGUGUGUUCUCCCUUUUCAUGUUCAAGCCUUCAUCCCUUUGGACAACAGUUCUAGAACAAUAGAUAGUAAAGGGUUAUGACCAAGCUCCAGAGAGCAGAAAGAAGAACUAGGGCAGGAGGAUGUGGCUGUUCAUUUUAACCCGGUGAGGAUGCGGCUGUUCAUUUUAACCCGGUGAGUGGAUGAAUGAUGAGUGGCUUCCUCCAUAACCCAAGACACUGCUGGGAAAGCAGGACCAUGUAUAGUUUUGUUCUUUGAUUUAUUUUCAUGGUGAGGUUUUUAAUCCUAACCUUCGUCGGACAGCUCCAUGGGCUCAAGUUGCACCAGGAAAUGCUCCUGUAGCAGAGCCUCUUUGCUAAUGUUUCCCUGUGACUUUGCAUUUAACAAUGUUCAGUGGAACAGUAAUGGAGAGCCAGCAGAUGACCUCACCAUAGCUUACUUCCCUCCACUUCUUACUUCCCUCCUCCCCUUUGACAUUGUCAAAGAUUCCCGAUAUGCAUGUACUUCUUCUUUUCAGAGCAGGGGCUAAGAAGUGCUAAAAUGGCUUAUCAAUGGUUUGUGGGGGGCGGGGGGAGGGAGAAGAGAACUCAUUUUUAAACAGAGAUGUGCAGUCUGGACCCAAAUCGUUCUCAUCUUCACUUAUUCCCUGAUCCUUCUGCAAAAGGGAGCUGUGUGUUUCCCUCAGGAUGUUGAGAGGGCAAAGGAAAGGACAGGAAACAUACGCCUAAAGCUGUUAUGAACUCUGCCGAAGAAAACCAUAGCGGGCAACUGGGGACCCAGAGAUGGGUUAAGGGACAUUCUGCCUACUGCAUUAUGAAGCCACUGGAAAUGCAGAGACGGGUUUUUUCAGGUGCAGAAUGUUCCAGGACCUGACAAAACCAUUACGAAGAACUCACUGAAAAGCCAGAUCUGUCUCUACCACUGACAACUGUGGUCUUGACUCCCAGGAAGGUGGAGUUUUUAUGUGGCCCUUCUCAAGAAUGGAGCCAUUUGCUUCCUGAAAAAACAUCUCAAGUGACCUCUAGCUCUUUCGGACUUAAAGACUGAGGGGACACCGGUUAACAAGAUGACCACUGCUGCAGAGUUAGGGCCAGUGGACAGCAGGUCCUGUAUACGUCCUCCUGUCUAGCAACCGCUCAAGCCAAAAACACCAUUAGUCGAGUGCCACAUACAAGAAGUACUUCGAGAUUCUGCAUUCUCAGCCACUCCACUGUACCCUUUUGAAGACCUUUUUUUAUGGCAUUUAAAUUUUUCAGGAUUAUUUCCCUUUCUCUCUCCCUAGGCCACAGAAAAGGUGUUUGUUUAGACAGACUGUAUGUAGCCCCACCUGGCCUCAAACCCUGACUUUUCUAGAGUUCUGAACUCCAGGCAUGUGGCACCCAGGCCCUGCUCAGAGAAAGGUGUUUUGCUAACCUGCAGAAUCAUCCCAGAGGCCUGUAGGGAAAACAAGUUUCUAUUAAACACCCUCAUCCCAGACCAGAUCCUCAAGAUGACUCAGAGGUUAAGGUAUGUGCUGUCUAACUUGAUGCCUGACGUCUCAUCCCUGGGUCUCAGAUGGUGGAAGGAGAGAACUGACUCUUGUCCUUGGAGUUCCACAAGUGUGCAGUGCUGUCCACAUACCUACACACACACACACACACACACACACACACACCCCAAACAAAUGUAACACCUGACCUACACAUACACACACCUACCCAAGGCAUUUGUCUAGUUUUCCCAUGUGGUGAUUCAAUGGCCCCAACUAUUGGCGCAAUCCCAUAAGAGAUGCAUACUUCCCUUUUGGGGAAUACAACUGUGAGUUAGCCUAACCAUUUCAGUUUCUCUCUGUCCUAACAGAAUAAUAACCAUCACACUCUGAGGGAAAUGGGCAGGCCAAGGUUAUGGACAUGCCUAUCAAAUGGCAAAUUCUGUCUAUAAAAGGGAAAAGUGGAAGUCAAGGGCAGGGGACAAGCUGAGUCAGGCUGUGAGGAAUUCGGAGGAUGGGUACUUAAGCCUUUGCAUCAGAAGCUGGCAACUUAGAGAUCACUCAGCAAAAUGGCUAAAAUCCACAGACCAGGCUCUGGGGAACUGGGGAGAGGAUUCAGAGGGCCUGAAAAUCGUCUUGCACUGUGAGCUGGAACCGCAUAUGCCACAGUCUAGCUAUAAAUAGAUGGCAAGCGUUUGGGCUUGUCAUCAGCCUCAUCCGCUGAGACAAGGAAUGAAUGUAUUAAAGAAAGCCUGCUGUUGUUUCAAGAUCAGACCACAGUGUGCACAAUCAAAUGGGUCUGGCAGCUGUGCCCUCAGAGACAAGCAUUCUGGUACAAAGGAUUCUGACUCAGCCCCUAUCCUGGUCUGCUGUGUGUCACAGGUAAUACUUACAUAAUACUCAGUCUAUCUACAACAUAUUUCGUUUCUACACUUGCAGUCAAUUCCUUCUGCUCGUUUUAAUGUUCCUCUCUUAUGGGGUGAGCGACAGCAGCCCAGUGACAUGGAAGACAAAUGCAGUGGAAAACAGCCCAUGGGAGUGAGUGCUGGGCCCGGACACAAUGGGAGACUCUGGGAGAUCUGAGUCCUUACACAUGCUCUCAGUUUCCAAGGAUACCUUUUUAGGAUACUAACCUUAGCACAAAUGGCUGCAUGGUCAGAGGAACCAAGACACUCAUCCAACAGGGCCGCGUCACCAGGCAACCCACCAGCUAACCGUGGCUUCCGGAAUGAGCCAGGAACCUGUCUCGGCUUGAGACAGUGCCCAGAUCACACGUCCAUGCUCUUGGCAAGCAGCUGUUGGAGUCAACAACCUCAGUCACAGCACUGACAUUCUAGACUCCAGCUUCGCUAUGGUAACGUCUGUGAGGUCUCCAGUCUAUCUGUCAUCCUCCCAACCCAAUCCAUCCCUGCACGGAAGAACAGAGACCUGAUUCAGUCCAAGACUGUCACACGUAUGCCAAAGUCAUUGAAGAAUGGCUGGCCAUAUCCACUCAGCUAGUGGAUUCCUGACUGCAGCCUAUAAAAGGGGCAAAGCACCCGUUCGCUACUGGACCUCUUCUCUCUUCCCCUACCUGCAGAACUACUGGAUAUCUUCCUUCUUCUUUGAAGCAAAGAGCUGAAUGCCAGCAUCGUGUCUGUGUGAACCUCUGCUAUGAUGACAACUGCUCUUCUGUGCCUUCCUUGCCAGGAGAGACUGAGUGCUUUAAAACCAUGUUCAAAACGAAGUCCUUGUUUCUGUUGGUGGGGGGCGGGGGUCACAGUGAUACAAUGUAACCAGUACAGUCAGGAUAGCAGACAUACUUUCGGGAGAAAUAAUCAGAGCCAAGACAUUUACCUCAUUCCCAAGUUUGCUCUCUUUAUUAUUUAAUAGUUACUUCUUUAUUGCUGUGAGAAAAUACCAUGACCGAGGCGACAUGAGGAGAAAUGAUUUUAUUUUGGCUUGUAGUUCCAUAGGAUGAGUCCAUGGUAGCCAAGAGGUGGCAUGAGGGUUGGAGCAGGAAGCUAAGAACUCACUUCUUCAGACAGCAGGCACGAGCCAGAGAAAGCAACUGGAAAUGGCGUGGGUCUAUGAGGGUGCAAACUUUUCAACUCUCAGAGACAUACUUCCUCUGACAAGGCCAUACUGGGGACCCAGGGUUCAAAUACAUGAGCCUAGAGGGGCCAUUCUUAUUCAAACCACCACAUAUUCCAUUUUGUCUACUGUAUGCCAUUAUAGCCUUGGCUUUUGUUGAUGGUGGUAAUUGUUGUAGCAAUUAGAAUAUACUUAAACUUUCAUGUCUAUGUAGUGUUCACAAAUUGUAGAAACUUUUAGCAUCAUACAUUUCUUGGCCCUUCCCUAACUGUCCUUUGUGUUGAGUGAUCCUAAGUACUAUAAGAAAAUACUAUAGUUUUGAGUCUAAACAGCCAUAUGUGUGGUAAUUUUUUUAAGAUUUAUUUAUUUUAUUUAUAUGAGUACACUGUUGCUCUCUUUAGACACACCAGAAGAGGGCAUCGGAUCCCAUUACAGAUGGCUGUGAUCCACCGUGUGGUUACUGGGAAUUGAACUCAGGACCUCUGGAAGAGAGGUCAGUGCUCCUAACUGCUGAGCCAUCUCUCCAACCCCCCAGCUAUAUGUGUUUUAAAGAGCUAAUAAGAUCUGUUUUCUAUUUGCUAUCCUUUAGCAUGAAGGAAUUUCUUUAUGGUUCUGGAAAUGUGACAUUCUUUUACAUAAAAAUGUUUUUUAAUGAUUAUUUAUUUAUUUAUUAUGUAUACAGUGUUCUGCCUGCAUAUAUGCCUGCAUGCCAGAAGAGGGCACCAGAUCUCAUUACAGAUGGUUGUGAGCCACCAUAUGGUUGCUGGGAAUUGAACUCAGGACCUCUGAAAAGAGCAGACAGUGCUCUUAACCUCUGAGCCAUCUCUCCAGCCCCACAUGAAAAUAUUUUAACGUGCUUCUCUGGAAGGGUGUUUUUGCUGGGGACAGAAUUCUGAAUCCACAGUGUGGAUUUCCUGUUGAAGGUGAACGUCCUACUGCCUUGCAUAGUUACUAAGAGAACUCUAUGACUAUUUCAAUUGCUUUCCCAUAUAUAGCACUUACAUCUUUCUAUGUUGGGAUUUAUUUAUUUUUGGCUUUAGAGGCAGUAUCUCAUGCAGCCCAAACUCAGUAUGCAUUUGAGAAUGACCUUGAUUGAAUUGCUGGUCCUCCUGCCUCUACUUCUUGAGGGCUGGAAAGAUGUGUGUCACCGUGCCCAGCUUCCUAUAGAAACUUUAAAAGUUACUGUCCCACACCCACACCCACAUAUAUGUAUGUAUAUAUGCAUAUAUAUCGGCACAGGAUCUUUUAAUUUGCUGGACUUAGAGUUAGGUUAUCACUUUAAGUCCAUAAAUUUUGCCUUGAUUUCACCAAGCAUCUGGCCUUCAAAUGUUGUCCCUGGAUCAAUAUUUAUCUCCACUCUAUUUGAGAUCCUUUUAUAUUUUUUUACAUGUAUUUACUUGUAUGUGUGGGUGGCCCACAGUGCAUGUGUGGAGGUCAGAAGACAGCAUGUCAGAACUCCUUCUACCACAUAUGGUGGUUUUAAUAGGAAUUACCCCACAAGCUCAUGUAUUUGAAUGCUUGGAGAAUGGUAAUACUUGACAGGGAUUAGGAGUGUGACCUUGUUGGAGGAACGUAUUGCUGGGAGUGGACUUUGGGGGUUUCAAAUGCCACAGCCAGACCCAGUGGCUCACUCUUCUUCCUGCUACCUGUGGAUCCUGAUGUAGAACUCUCCUUCUCCAGUACCAUAUCUAUCUGCAUGCUGCCAUGUUUCCCACCAUGAUGACAGUGUAAGCCAGCCCCAACUAAAUGCUUUCCCUUAUCAGAGUUGCCUUGGUCAUGGUAUAGCUUCCCAGCCACAUAACACUAAGACAAUAUAGGACCCCGGUCUGACCAAACUCAAAUCAUCAGGCUUGGUGGCAAAAGCCUUGCCCAUUGAGCUACCUGGAUGGUCCUGUGGGAGGGUCUUGCCAUACAUAUGUUGGAUUUUUUUUUACAGCGUUGUCACAGAUUCAUAAAAGUCUAAAUAUUUUUCUAUUGUUUCUCUGUGUUCUUCAGAUUUGAUCCUUCACACUGGACUUCGCGUUCAUGCGCUCCCGUAGCGUAUCCCCUUUCCUGCUGUGCACGUGGUGAUUUAUAGGUUAUUUCUAGUGCACUCUACAGCUUUUCCUUCUCCGGUUAGAUUUCCUGUCCUGUCCUGGGUCUCUUUGGCAUCAUGGGGCAUCUCCCCUCGAGGACAUUUCUUUGGUUCUCUGGAAAUGUGUCAUGUAAAUCUGUGCUGUGCCCUGGGCCCCCACAGUGCCACACCACAUACCUGGAGUUCUGUUUGAACCCCUUAGAAAAUACUUAUGUCCGUAUAUCAGUGGUCCAUUGUCUUGGUUAAUCUCAGGUCACCUCCGUGUUUGCUUCCUGGCUUGCAUCUGCCCUGCACACACAUGGCUUGGGGUCCUUGUGCAGAAUUACAAAUUUCUCUUUGACUUUCCUUCCUCGGGUCUCUGUCCCUACUUGACAUACACACUCCAGCACACAGGGUUCCCCUGACGAGAAAGACUCAGAAGCUACUAUUGGAGGUUUUUUAGUCACCUGAAUCACAUGGUCACGCAAUUAGCCACUGGGAAUUGUCCCUAGCAUUGAGAGGAAAAGAAGUAAAUAUUAAAAAAACAAACACUCCCCAAUUUUAAAACAGAACAAUGGGAUGCUGUCCCUAUGGAGCCCCAGGUUCUGUCUCUUCUACAAUCUGUUACAUACUUUCCAAAAUCUUCAAGUUGGCUCCUAUGUUCUGUACAGUUACUGCUUGUAAUCAGUGGAUAGAACAGAGUGUAGUAGGUACCACAGAGCUCCCCCACAGCCUCCCGUUACC